rnacentral:rRNA from 1 species
GACGAACGCUGGCGGCGUGCCUAAUACAUGCAAGUAGAACGCUGAAGAGAGGAGCUUGCUCUUCUUGGAUGAGUUGCGAACGGGUGAGUAACGCGUAGGUAACCUGCCUGGUAGCGGGGGAUAACUAUUGGAAACGAUAGCUAAUACCGCAUAAUAGCAGUUAUUGCAUGAUAACUGUUUGAAAGGUGCAAUUGCACCACUACCAGAUGGACCUGCGUUGUAUUAGCUAGUUGGUGGGGUAACGGCUCACCAAGGCGACGAUACAUAGCCGACCUGAGAGGGUGAUCGGCCACACUGGGACUGAGACACGGCCCAGACUCCUACGGGAGGCAGCAGUAGGGAAUCUUCGGCAAUGGACGGAAGUCUGAUCGAGCAACGCCGCGUGAGUGAAGAAGGUUUUCGGAUCGUAAAGCUCUGUUGUAAGAGAAGAACGAGUGUGAGAGUGGAAAGUUCACACUGUGACGGUAUCUUCCAGAAAG